UACAGAGGUGGCAAGCGUUGUUCAGAAUUACUGGGCGUAAAGGGCGAGUAGGUGGCCAUCUAAGUCAGACGUGAAAUCCCCCGGCUUAACCCAGGAAUUGCGUCUGAUACUGCUCGGCUUGAGUACGGUAGAGGAGGGUGGAAUUCCCAGUGUAGCGGUGAAAUGCGUAGAUAUUGGGAGGAACACCGGUGGCGAAGGCGGCCCUCUGGACCGAAACUGACACUGAAGCGCGAAAGCUAGGGGAGCAAACGGG
rnacentral:rRNA from 1 species